CCCAUGUGAAACCCCUUCGACGAGUCGAGUUGUUUGGGAAUGCAGCUCAAAAUGGGUGGUAAAUUUCAUCUAAAGCUAAAUACUGGCUGGAGACCGAUAGCGCACAAGUAGAGUGAUCGAAAGAUGAAAAGCACUUUGGAAAGAGAGUCAAACAGUACGUGAAAUUGUUGAAAGGGAAGCGCUUGCAACCAGACCUGUCCGUAGGUGAUCAGCCGCCGUUCUCGGUGGUGCACUCGCCUACGAUCAGGCCAGCAUCGGUUCGGGCGGUCGGAUAAAGGCCUUGGGAAUGUAGCUCCUCUCGAGGAGUCUUAUAGCCUUCGGUGCAAUGCGGCCAACCCGGACCGAGGACCGCGCUUCGGCUAGGAUGCUGGCGUAAUGGUUGUAAGCGACCCGUCUUGAAACACGGACCAAGGAGUCUAACAUCUAUGCGAGUGUUUGGGUGUCAAACCCAUACGCGGAAUGAAAGUGAACGGAGGUGAGAACCCUUUAGGGCGCAUCAUCGACCGAUCCAGAUGUCUUCGGAUGGAUUUGAGUAUGAGCAUAGCUGUUGGGACCCGAAAGAUGGUGAACUAUGCCUGAAUAGGGUGAAGCCAGAGGAAACUCUGGUGGAGGCUCGCAGCGGUUCUGACGUGCAWAUCGAUCGUCAAAUUUGGGUAUAGGGGCGAAAGACUAAUCGAACCAUCUAGUAGCUGGUUCCUG
rnacentral:rRNA from 1 species